AGCGAACGCUGGCGGCAGGCUUAACACAUGCAAGUCGAGCGGACGUAGCAAUACGUUAGCGGCAGACGGGUGAGUAACACGUGGGAACGUGCCCUUUGGUUCGGGAUAACCCAGGGAAACCUGGGCUAAUACCGGAUAAGCCCUUACGGGGAAAGAUUUAUCGCCAAAGGAUCGGCCCGCGUCUGAUUAGCUAGUUGGUGGGGUAACGGCCCACCAAGGCUACGAUCAGUAGCUAGUCUGAGAGGAUGAUCAGCCACACUGGGACUGAGACACGGCCCAGACUCCUACGGGAGGCAGCAGUGGGGAAUAUUGGACAAUGGGGAAACCCGUGAUCCAGCCAUGCCGCGUGAGUGAUGAAGGCCUUAGGGUUGUAAAGCUCUUUCGGCGGGAAGAUAAUGACGGUACCCGCAUAAGAAGCCCCGGCUAACUUCGUGCCAGCAGCCGCAGUAAC
rnacentral:rRNA from 1 species